CGGGUGCACUGAUCCGGCCGGGCCUUUCCCUCUGUGGAACCCCAUGGCCUUCACUGGCUGUGCGGGGGAAACAGGACUUUUACUGUGAAAAAAUUAGAGUGCUCCAGGCAGGCCUAUGCUCGAAUACAUUAGCAUGGAAUAAUAGAAUAGGACGCGUGGUUCUAUUUUGUUGGUUUCUAGGACCGCCGUAAUGAUUAAUAGGGGACAGUCGGGGGCAUCAGUAUUCAAUUGUCAGAGGUGAAAUUCUUGGAUCUAUUGAAGACUAACUACUGCGAAAAGCCAUUUGCCCAAGGAUGUUUUUCAUUGAUAAGGAACGAAAGUUAGGGGAUCGAAGACGAUCAGAUACCGUCGUAGUCUUAACUAUAAACUAUGCCGACUAGGGAUCGGACGAUGUUAUUUCUUGACGCGUUCGGCACCUUUCGAGAAAUCAAAGUGCUUGGGCUCCAGGGGGAGUAUGGUCGCAAGGCUGAAACUUAAAGAAAUUGACGGAAGGGCACCACCAGGGGUGGAACCUGCGGCUUAAUUUGACUCAACACGGGGAAACUCACCAGGUCCAGACACAGUGAGGAUUGACAGAUUGAGAGCUCUUUCUUGAUUCUGUGGGUGGUGGUGCAUGGCCGUUCUUAGUUGGUGGAGUGAUUUGUCUGCUUAAUUGCGAUAACGAACGAGACCUUAACCUGCUAAAUAGCCCGUACUGCUCUGGCAGUUCGCCGGCUUCUUAGAGGGACUAUCGG
rnacentral:rRNA from 1 species